UACGGAGGAUCCAAGCGUUAUCCGGAAUCAUUGGGUUUAAAGGGUCCGUAGGUGGGAGAAUAAGUCAGUGGUGAAAUCCUACAGCUUAACUGUAGAACUGCCAUUGAAACUGUUUUUCUUGAGUAUAGAUGAAGUGGGCGGAAUGUGUCAUGUAGCGGUGAAAUGCAUAGAUAUGACACAGAACACCGAUUGCGAAGGCAGCUCACUAAACUAUUACUGACACUGAGGGACGAAAGCGUGGGGAGCGAACAGG
rnacentral:misc_RNA from 1 species